AGGAUGAACGCUGGCGGCGUGCCUAAUACAUGCAAGUCGAGCGGUAACACUUCGGGUGACGAGCGGCGGACGGCUGAGUAACACGUAGGAACGUACCCCAAAGUGAGGGAUAAGCACCGGAAACGGUGUCUAAUACCGCAUGUGCUCUUCGGAGUAAAGCUUCGGCGCUUUGGGAACGGCCUGCGCAUGAUUAGCUUGUUGGUGAGGUAAAAGCUCACCAAGGCGACGAUCAUUAGCUGGUCUGAGAGGAUGAUCAGCCAGACUGGGACUGAGAACGGCCCAGACUCCUACGGGAGGCAGCAGUAGGGAAUUUUCCACAAUGGGGGC
rnacentral:rRNA from 1 species